rnacentral:rRNA from 1 species
AACGAACGCUGGCGGCAGGCCUAACACAUGCAAGUCGAGCGAGGACUUCGGUCCUAGCGGCGGACGGGUGAGUACGCGUGGGAACGUGCCCUUUGCUUCGGAAUAGCCCUGGGAAACUGGGAGUAAUACCGGAUGAGCCCUUUGGGGGAAAGAUUUAUCGGCGAAGGAUCGGCCCGCGUUGGAUUAGGUAGUUGGUGGGGUAAUGGCCUACCAAGCCGACGAUCCAUAGCUGGUUUGAGAGGAUGAUCAGCCACACUGGGACUGAGACACGGCCCAGACUCCUACGGGAGGCAGCAGUGGGGAAUCUUAGACAAUGGGGGAAACCCUGAUCUAGCCAUGCCGCGUGAGCGAUGAAGGCCUUAGGGUUGUAAAGCUCUUUCAGCUGGGAAGAUAAUGACGGUACCAGCAGAAGAAGCCCCGGCUAACUCCGU